rnacentral:lncRNA from 1 species
GAGAAUUCAGUCAGGGAUUCAAUGAGAUUUCCGUCAAAAGUUGUAGAAAUACCCCCUCUUCAUGAAUGAAAUCACCAUUUAAAGAGACUGUUUUAUGGAUGGCAGUGUGCUGGUGGGCUUCUUGCCCUAUUGCCUGACUUUCUUUCUAUCUGACCUCCUAAAGAUACAGUCAUUGGAAUUGAUUUUUAUGGAAAACAUCUAGUUAUAUCAGUACAUUUAGUAAUGAAUUUCUAUUCAUUGUAUUUGUUUAGUAAUGAAUUUAUAAUAAAACCGGAAUUACACAGAUUUUUUAUUUGGAAAGCUCUGGUAUCGGGUCAGUUAUGAUUUUGGUUUGGGUUCUUCUCUUUGGGCUGGGUCCCUACUGUUAGGGAUAUUAUUUACAUCCAAGGAUCCCUGGAGUUUGAAGCAAAGGGAAGGCACUCUGGAAGAAUACCCAGGAAGGAGUAGCAUAAUUGGAAAACCGAGAAAGCUGCAAGUAAACUCAUGUUUUGAGUAUAAAGGGCCACCUGGGGAUGGAUGCCUGAUCCAGGAGGAUUACCCAUAGGGUAGGGAAGGGGGAGGUAUGGAGAGUUGUCAGAUAAGAGUAAAAUGUGACCAUUCCUUGUAGAAGUACUCAGUUCUGUUGUGGGAGUGAUGUGUCAGUUAAAAGCAAAUGCACAUCCAGGGAUAGCUUGUAUUCACCUUUCCUUGUUUAGCCAUCUGUUUCUGUUUCACCAGCCUGGUAUUAUAAAAUGAGAUUAUGUUGGCUGGGCAUGGUGGCUCACACCUGUAAUCCCCGCACUUUGGGAGGCCGAGGUGGGCGGAUCACAAGGUCAGGAGAUCGAGAUCAUGGUGAAACCCUGUCUCUACUAUAAAUACAAAAAAUUAGCCGGGCGCUGUGGUAGGUGCCUGUAGUCCCAGCUACUCAGGAGGCUGAGGCAGGAGAAUGGCAUGAACCUGGGAGGCGGAGCUUGCAGUGAGCCGAGAUUGCGCCACUGCCCUCCAGCCUGGGCAACAGAGCAAGACUCCAUCUCAAAAAAAAAAAAAAAA